AAGUCGUAACAAGGUUUCCGUAGGUCAAGUUUAGCCUGCCACAGCGGGUCAACCCUCGCUAGUCUCCGCUGGAGGCGACAACCGCUCGAAAGCCCUGCUGGGGAAACGGCCCGCUCCCUCGGGAAAUCCCACCGAAGCCCACUUCCCUGCGCCCGGUAAGUGGGUUUAGGAGGCUCAAAUGAGCGUGGGUGCUGAUCUCAGCGCUUGAGAUAGAGUCCGUCCCAGCUGGUAACCCGCUGGGGGGCGAACGGAACCUGCGGAAGGAUCAUUACAGAAUUGACGGCUUUGCGAAGCCAGAUUCUCACCCCCGUGUAUACACUAUCUCUGUUGCUUUGGCGGGCGCCUGGCGCCUGCCAGAGGGAAAACCCUUGAAUCUCUGCAAUCUGAGCACGAUAAAAUAGUCAAAA
rnacentral:misc_RNA from 1 species